rnacentral:rRNA from 1 species
AACGAACGCUGGCGGCAUGCCUAACACAUGCAAGUCGAACGAGACCUUCGGGUCUAGUGGCGCACGGGUGCGUAACGCGUGGGAAUCUGCCCUUGGGUUCGGAAUAACAGUUAGAAAUGACUGCUAAUACCGGAUGGUGACGUAAGUCCAAAGAUUUAUCGCCCAAGGAUGAGCCCGCGUAGGAUUAGCUUGUUGGUGAGGUAAAAGCUCACCAAGGCGACGAUCCUUAGCUGGUCUGAGAGGAUGAUCAGCCACACUGGGACUGAGACACGGCCCAGACUCCUACGGGAGGCAGCAGUGGGGAAUAUUGGACAAUGGGCGAAAGCCUGAUCCAGCAAUGCCGCGUGAGUGAUGAAGGCCUUAGGGUUGUAAAGCUCUUUUACCCGGGAUGAUAAUGACAGUACCGGGAGAAUAAGCCCCGGCUAACUCCGUGCCAGCAGCCGCCGUAAAAC